rnacentral:sRNA from 21 species
GUGAACUACCGCUGAGCUGAAGACUCAGCAGAUUCUUCGGAGGCUUGAGUCUUCAGUUUGGUAGCUUCGUGAGAAGCUUGAGUUCACCAGACUCAGCCCCAGAAAUGGGAGCUACGUUCGAUAGGUCAUGACACCUGCGGUUGACGCAUCAGACCGCUGCUCUGUC